rnacentral:rRNA from 1 species
UACGGGAGGCAGCAGUGGGGAAUAUUGCACAAUGGGCGAAAGCCUGAUGCAGCUAUGCCGCGUGUAUGAAGAAGGCCUUAGGGUUGUAAAGUACUUUCAUCGGGGAGGAAAAAACAAAACUAAUAAUUUUAUUUCUUGACGUUACCCGAAAAAGAAGCACCGGCUAACUCCGUGCCAGCAGCCGCGGUAAUACGGAGGGUGCUAGCGUUAAUCAGAAUUACUGGGCGUAAAGAGCACGUAGGUGGUUUUUUUAAAGUCAGAUGUGAAAUCCCUGGGCUUAACCUAGGAACUGCAUUUUGAAACUGAAAUACUAGAGUAUCGUAGAGGGAGGUAGAAUUCUAGGUGUAGCGGUGAAAUGCGUAGAUAUCUGGAGGAAUACCUGUGGCGAAAGCGGCCUCCUAAACGAAUACUGACACUGAGGUGCGAAAGCUGGGGAGCAAACAGGGAUUAGAUACCCGU